rnacentral:rRNA from 2 species
UUAAAACGACUCUCGGCAACGGAUAUCUCGGCUCUCGCAUCGAUGAAGAACGUAGCGAAAUGCGAUACUUGGUGUGAAUUGCAGAAUCCCGUGAACCAUCGAGUCUUUGAACGCAAGUUGCGCCCGAAGCCUUCUGGCCGAGGGCACGUCUGCCUGGGCGUCAC